GUGGGAGGGGGCUUGCUCCCGAUAGCAGUGUGUCAGUCGGUACAUCUGACACUGACACACCGCUAUCGGGAGCAAGCCCCCUCCCAC
rnacentral:misc_RNA from 1 species